CCAGAAAAAAAUACAAAACAACGACUGAGUUUAUCAUAGAGACAACACUUGCACACAGACAAAGUAAGUGGAAAAUCAUAGACCUGCAAGUUGAAUAAAUAGGGCUUGUUCAUAUAAAACAAGUUCCUCUCUAUCUUGCUCACCUACUUCAGGGCCUCUGGCCCAUGCUCAGAAAAAUAAAAGCAGGAGGAGGAGUUUGGCUUUGUGUGAUGGUUAAACUGGGACCACAGAGCUUCAGUGGAAAGCUGAGGUCUGAAGCAUCCAUUUGCUUCAGCUGAAACACUCAGAAGGAGUAGCAGAAAGAGGAAACAGCAAGCGGCUUCUUCCGGCUGCAACAUUAAUUGGAAGUACAGACCCUGUCCAGCCCUGCCGAGAUGGAGGCAUCCAGCUUCAUAGCUCGCAAGCCUCUUGUCACUGAAGCAGUCGCACCCUUUCAGGACAUGCAUUAUCUCCACCGACACUGUCCAAGGGGUAAUGUUUUGGGUCAAGAUCAUUACUUCUCCUGGGAUGGUGCCCGGCACGAGGGAGUCUCUGGAAGGUCCCUGUGCAGGAGCAAGCUCACCUCUGUGAAAAUGGCCCUCAGAUCCAUCUCCAGACAGGGAGACAAAGAGGAUCCAGCAAAGCACAAUAUGUGUAGAACUCAUCCCACUGCAGGCCGUGGUCUUGGAGAUGGCUGUGCGACCAGAGCUGAGGGGCUGGGCUGGGUGAGGGCUCCCCAGGGGCAGGAGCCUGGCCCUCUUCCACUUUCACUUGUGGCUCGGAGAGGACCUCGCACCAGGUGAAAAGGCUCCGCAAAAGAAAGGGGAGGUUGGGCCAUGCCAUGGAGCUCCCUUCACCCACCCAACCACUGUGUGGCUUGGGCUGAGGGAGGAAAGGCUGAGCCUCUGCAUCUAUUUUAUACACAAAACAUACCAAAGGAAUAGUUACGACAUCUUCUAUGAACAAGGUGGGACAAAUCCAGCCUAAGCAAAAGCAGGAGCCAUUUCGCUGCCUUCGGUGGAGAGCACAGCUGGACCUGGUCCCCAGAGAGCACACAAACAGCACAACCCACCCAACCAAAUCUGCAAUAAACAGCCUCACUCCACGAACACUAGCGACUAGCUAUUCCAGUUCAUCAAUGUACAGCAAGAAAGUGUUUCUGAAACUUCUGAGCCUUACUGAAAAGAUAGUUAGCACAAGGCUGGUUCAGCUCAAUUUGCACAGGUUGGCCAAAGGGAGAGAUCUGCUCUGAUCCGCGCCCAGGCGGCAGCCUGGAGAUCCCGCGUAGCGAUGGAGGCUAAUCUUACACUUGCAUCUCUAUACAAAAGUUACAAAAUCAAAUGGUGACAUUAUAUUACAACUAUUGUCCAUAAUAUCACAGUGCUAGUUUUAAAUGGCUAAAAACAAUAAAGGUUUUAGAUUUAAGACACCCCUUCUGGAGAAAUGUAACCCCUUGGUCCUGCUGUUGAUACCUGAAAGCAGCCUUGCUUAACAAAGGUAAAUCCAAUGAGAUGUGCUAAUUGAAACUAGGAACAUUUUUCCUUUGUAAUCUCAAAUCUGUGGUGCAUUUCCUAACACGUCCCUUUGUUUCCCACAGACAAACUAAACAAAUAAUAUGAAUCUCAGCCUGAAAGUCAAAAUGUUGAAAAGAACAGUUCUAAAGCCCAUACACUUCCUACCAGGUACUAACUAAAUAAAACCCUUGCAAAUUUAAAUACAGAUUAGUUUGAUAUAUCUUCAGAGUGUUAGCUUGUCAACAACAUUCACAAUGAAGUUUCACUUCUGAGGCCAUGGAAUUCCUACUCAUCCUUUUCAGUUCUGCUUUCAAGAGUAUCUGUGCUGUCUUCCACUUCUGGAGCUGGAUGCACUAAAGUAUCUGCAAAGAAAUGGUUUGUCAGUAUUGAUUCCCCCAUACUGUACAACAGCCUUCAUGUGACUCCCUGCUCCAUGAGGCAGAUGAUCUGCUGGGCACUCAGCCUUGAAAUUGGUAAUUUGUUGUACUUGCAAACCAAUAGUUAAACCUGGAGUAAUGUACUCUGAGUGCAUCGCCGCCUGACUUCACAGGGGAAUUCAGACCUUGGGAUGGGUAUUAAUGAGAUGAGGUGACGACCCUUUUCAUUAAAAGCAAGAGAGCCACCAAAGUGGGAGGGCUGCCUGCUGUCUAAGUGCUCAAAUGUUUCCUCCUGAAGACGUAGCAAGUCCUAAUGUCACUGCACAAAAACAACACAGAGGCCAUCAUGCGCCUGUGGUCCAAGCCAUAGAUUGGCUCCUGUUUCUUCUUGAAUGAUACAACCCCGUGGUUGCCUCUGCUAAGGAAUGUUGGCUGGUACAGUAGGUGAUGUGACACUGCAGAAUCAGACCUUGUGUCAUUGCCCCUCUGAAGGCAUGGGAAGGUGCAUCCUGCACCCCAUCCUAGCUGCUGUCUCUGGGCAUUCGUGGGGCUAAUGUUGUUGCAUGGAAAUGGAAACCGUGUCACUCGUUAAGGGGAAAUGAGAACACUGAGAUGGAAAAAAAGCCACCAGAAAUAGAGUGCAAACUACACUAACAAGGUCUUAUCUUUAGGCAUAUUUAGCCCACAGUGACCCUAUUAUCGUAUCUACAUAUUUGUGAGCUCCUGUUACACUAAUGCACUCCUGGGACACCAUGACGCUUUGAAAGCAUGCAGCUGUUAAAUACUCUACUUCUAGGCUAAGAGACAGGGAGAUAGAGAUACGCUAUUGAGCAGGGUUAUUGUUUCCUAGAGUGAACUGCUUGCAGGCCCUGUGAGUGGCCAGCUCUGAACCUGAUGGAAACACCUCAAAUGCCUCAAGGACUCGGUCAGUUCACAGGGCACCCCUCCAUGCGCAGGUGUUUCUGUGCACCCACUGUUAUCUGGUUCUCUGCUGAGCCUGAAACUGCCCUUUUCCUAUGGGGAGCAAGGAUCAAACUGCUCGUUCAGACCUUCCAGAUCCAUCUGCUGCUGCUGCUGAACGCAGACUCUUUGGUCACCGUGAAGACCCUUGUCCUCUGCUGAUUUCAGGUCAUCGGGAGGCCAGCGCAGCUCCCCGCUCUCCACCUCGCCGGACUCAGUUGGCUCCACCACAAUCGAUGGCAGUCUCUUGGACAGCUUGGGGUACUUCUCACGUGAGUCUGGG
rnacentral:lncRNA from 1 species